rnacentral:rRNA from 1 species
GACGGAGGAUGCAAGUGUUAUCCGGAAUCACUGGGCGUAAAGCGUCUGUAGGUGGUUCGAAAAGUCCACUGUUAAAAAUUGAGGCUUAACUUCAAAGAUGCCGUGGAAACUUUCAAACUAGAGUAUGGUAGGGGUAGAGGGAAUUUCCAGUGGAGCGGUGAAAUGCGUAGAUAUUGGAAAGACCACCGAUGGCGAAGGCACUCUACUGGGCCACUACUGACACUGAGGUACGAAAGCGUGGGGAGCAAACAGG